AUGGUGGGAUUUUACCGUUUCCAAUGUGGUUUUUCGAACGGUUCAUGUGUAAAUAUAUUUUUGCCCUCUAAUGGUAAGUUUCCCUUGCAAUGCAAUUUAGUUCAUGGUGUACACUUUUGUGAGAUUCUUGGUAUGUUUGGAGGCUACGGUGUCAUUUUCGUGCGAUUCGUUCCGACUUUUUGUACACUCAUUUUUUGA